rnacentral:lncRNA from 1 species
GGGAUUCCAGGGGGACGCCAGCAUGCAGGGAGGCUCCCUGAGCCCACAGGCCCCCAGCCAGCGCCGCGCCAGCCGCCAGUCCCAGCAGAGCCCGGUUACCUGAGCCACGAGAACUCCGAGUUCCAGGAUGUCCCCUUUGGCAGCCCAGGAACUCCGCAGGCUUCUGGCCAGAGUCCAGGUGGUAGCAAACGCCUGCUGGGGCGGAAGCUAUGGGGCUGUGAGGAGGCCAGCCCUGUGGAGGGAGUGUCUGCCCCAGGGAGCAAACUCACGCCUGCUCGCUCCUGUUUGUCUUUGGGCUGGAGCUGCAGGCUGGGAGGGCAAGGGGCUGCCGCCACGGGGCAUCCUGCAAGCUCCCACACAGCAGUCACGUCCCUCGGCCAGAUGCUGACUGGGCAAGCAGUGGCCUUACUCUCCCUGACCUGGAGCGCUUACCAGAGCCUGGCGGUCCCCAGGGUCUCAGAAUGUGGCCUCUCCUGUUCUCAGGGCUUCACCUGCAAGAGCCGCGUGAACCGAAAUAUCUUCAACAGCUUCUGCCAGCAGCCCCCCACGUCUAUGUCCAGGUCGGUGCUGGAGGCCCUGGCGCUCUCCACCGCCAUGAAGUGCAGCCCCCCUGAUGGCUGCGCCUUGCUCUUGCGGUUACAAGCCUCCCUCAUGCCGCACGGUGAGAGGCGGCCUCGCAAGGGGGGAUGGUGACACCCAGGAAUGGGGCAGGGGCUCAGGGCUCCUUUAAUCCCAUGACAGCCGGGGGCGGGGCAGGGC